rnacentral:rRNA from 1 species
UACGUAGGGGGCGAGCGUUGUCCGGAAUCAUUGGGCGUAGAGCGCGUGUAGGCGGCCCGGUAAGUCCGCUGUGAAAGUCCAGGGCUCAACCCUGGGAUGCCGGUGGAUACUGUCGGGCUCGAGUCCGGAAGAGGCGAGUGGAAUUCCUGGUGUAGCGGUGAAAUGCGCAGAUAUCAGGAGGAACACCAAUGGCGAAGGCAGCUCGCUGGGACGUGACUGACGCUGAGGAGCGAAAGCGUGGGGAGCGAACAGG